GAGACUCAAAUAAUAUUCAUAGAUAAUCUGAUCAUAAAUUCACAAUUCAUCAGAUCUCGACAAACACACCGCAAAAGAAGGUUACAUUGGAUAGAUCUCCAUGAAGAUCAUGGAGAACUUUGUAUUGAAGAUCCAAGAGAGAGAAGAAGCCAUCUAGCUACUAUCUAUGGACCCAAAGGUCUGUGGUGAACUACUCACGCAUCAUCGGAGAGGCAAUGGUGUUGAUGAAGAAGCACUCCAUGUCCGAAUCCCCCUCCGACAGGGCACCAGAACGGUCCCCAGAUGGGAUCUUGCGGAGACAUAAGCUUGUUGCGGCGAAAAAGUAUUUUCGUGGCUCUCUCUGGUGGUUUUGGAUUUUUAGAGAAUUUAUAGGUGGAAGAGGUAGGGCAAAGGAGCCACGGGGGGCCCACAAGCCUGCUAGGCACGCCCCCCAGGCAGCGGCUAGGGGGCUUGUGACCUCCGCCGAGGUCCUUUGCCUUGGUUCUCAAGUCCCCUGCGUAUCUUCUGUUAUGGAAAAAAUCAUCCCGCAGGUUUGAUUCCGUUUGGAAUCCGUUAAAUAUUCUUCUCUGAAAAAGGUCAAAAACACGGAAAAAACAGAAACCGGCACUUGGCACUGAGUUAAUAGGUUAGUCCCAAAAAAGAUAUAAAAUAGCAUAUUCAUGCAUACAAAACAUCCAAAGUUGACAAGAUAAUAGCAUGGACCAUCAAAAAUUGUAGAUGCAUUGGAGACGUAUCAGUCGUCAGCGGUCUCCACGUAGUAGUAGGCACCGUCGGGGUAGUAGUCAUUGUCGGCAAGAUACGCCAUCUCCUGGGCUCCAUCAUUUGGUCGCAUUAACGUAUCAAGGGGAAAAGGGGGUGCAAAGCAAUGGUGACUACUCAUGCAAAGUACUCGCAAGACUGACAUCAGAACUAUGCUAGGAUAUGCAUCAGUAUCAAAGGAAUGGUUUUUAUGUGGACUAACUGCAGCAAAGCGAGAAUAGAGAGAGAAGACUAGUCCUAUCGAAGACUAGCAUCUUCAGGGGUAUUGCACCAAUAGAUGAGAGUAGAGGAGGUAACACAAUUAAUAGUCACAGUGUUGAAGCAAUUUUAAUUAAGGUCAUGCCACAAGAUUCUUGCUCGACUCCCUGCGAGAAAGCAAUCCCGGAGCGAACAUUCUAGUUAAGCAACAGUUGUAGUUGUAUAAGAUCAGGUCACAACUACAAAUCGUCCUGUAAUCAUGGACACGGCUAUUCGAAUAGUUAAUUUUCAUCCCUGCAGGGGUGCAUCAAGUUUCCCGUCACGCUCAAUAAACUCUGGAUGAACGCACUUUCCUGGGUCAUGCCCGGCAUCGGAACAUCAACACGUCACAGCCGCACCUAGGGUCAAUAGAUAGGCUAGCUCGCCGGUCUAAAUCCUAAGCGCGCAGGGGUCAUGGGCCCAUCACCCUUUGCGCUCCUGCACGAAGCAAGGGCAACCAAUGUCAGUCCUAGCACCUCUUAUACAAGAAUGAUGCUUAUCCUGGCCACUUGGGUGCGCACCACUCCAUUGCUGACGUCUGGAGAGCUUCAACUGAUACUACGACGUCGUGAACCCAUAGCUCCUCCCACGUAGACGGAUAGUGCAAAAAGGUCACCGACCAACCCAGAUCAAAUACCCAAAUCCUUAGCAUUUUAAUUAACCCAUAAACACAUCCACGCGGGAAUCCACCUGCAACACAUUAUUCAUCAAUGUUCCUAGAAACAAGGUCAAGUAACCGUGUGGCUAUAACAGCAUUGGGAUCUGAGGUAUCACCCUUGAUGGAUUCCGAAUGACGUAACCGUCAAGGUGGCCAGAGAGGAAUAACCCUUGUUGGGCUAGCUUGAUGGGUUGUACGGCAUUGUCGUUAUCGGAAGUGGUGAAGGAGGAAUCACCCUCCGAGAACCACCACCGGUCAACUACACUACAAUGUUAACAUCGGAGUACGUAACAUGGUGUCACCCUCACUACUCGAUAGUUGCUCUGUAGCGUCGUACAACUAAGGGGGGG
rnacentral:lncRNA from 1 species